rnacentral:rRNA from 1 species
AUUGAACGCUGGCGGCAGGCUUAACACAUGCAAGUCGAGCGAGUGGCGAACGGGUGAGUAACGCGUAGGUAACUACCUAUUAGAGGGGGAUAACUAUUGGAAACGAUAGCUAAUACCGCAUACUAGUAGAUGGACCUGCGUUGUAUUAGCUAGUAGGUAGGGUAAUGGCCUACCUAGGCAACGAUACAUAGCCGACCUGAGAGGGUGAUCGGCCACACUGGGACUGGGACACGGCCCAGACUCCUACGGGAGGCAGCAGUAGGGAAUCUUCGGCAAUGGGGGGAACCCUGACCGAGCAACGCCGCGUGAGUGAAGAAGGUUUUCGGAUCGUAAAGCUCUGUUGUUAAGGAAGCGGUACUUAACCAGAAAGCCACGGCUAACUACGUGCCAGCAGCCGCGGUAAUUC